GGUUGGUGACGCGCGCGCAGUUCUCCAGGCGCAGUGCGCGCAGGCGUGGGCAGCAGCGCAGCAGGCGCGCCAGGCAGUCGUCGGUAACGUGGCCGCAGCCCGAGAGCGUGACGGACGCCAGGUUGGGGCACCUGUGAGGAGAGUGCGGUGACCCGGGGCUCACUGGCUUGUUAAAGCUACCCAACCGCCCCAUGGGACCGAGUGGACUCAUUUACCGAGGAGGACUCGGGCCCUGCGAGGUCACUUCAUCCUGGCCCAGGUACUGCAGCUCCAAAUCGUGGGGAUUCUGUAAGAGCUUGCUACCUGUUGACUGAGGAGGCCCACGAGUUGAGAAGAACUAGCAAGAGUGGUACAAAACUGCAGGUCAUUGGGCUGGCCACCAGGUAUUCCCACCCACCAGAAGCUGGCUGUUGUACUCACCCGGAACCAUGGUGCACCACCACAGCGGCGAGGUCAUACAGGCAGCUCUCCGGGCCACUGUUCUCAGGCUACAGAACAAGGAAGAAGGAGCAGUGGUCAAUGACAUCAGUAUCUCGAUGACCUCUACCCUCUCCAUGUGAUGACAAUCUUACUGAAGAGCCAUUUUUUCACCAUGCUAAAAAGGUAACCACCUUACCUCUAGUAAGUAGCAUUUCAUGUCUAGGCCUCUCAGUGGAAAUUCUACGUAUGUAUCAACUUUAUUUCUUAAAUAUGCUGUCCAAUGAAAUCUUUUCAAAUGUAAGCAUAGCACCUGGAGGACAGAGAUGCGGUCAAAGAUUGUGAACACCUAAUUUACCUUUCAGUCAAAGUUUGAUACUACUAUCAGUUCAGUAAAUAACAUUUUAGCUGCCCUAUCAAUCAUUCUUCCAUGCAUACCUUAUGCAUUCAUUCUGUAAGGGGUUUAGCUUUUACUGAAAAUCCUAGAGAAAAAUACAGAACAGUUCACAUAGUGUAAAGUUAUAGACAUGGUCUUAGCAGUCAAGCACUUUCCCAUUGAAAUUGCUUCAUAACUCAAAAUUCAACACUCACCUUGGGUAGUUUUUGAAUCCAAAACUUUUUUGUGGACUUUUGUUUCUUUUUGCAUUUAUGGCACAUAUAUAACUCUGUCUCAUCAAGUUCUUCUAAGUCGGUAAAACUGCGAAGACAAUCUAAACAAAUUGAUUUUGGCAGCAUUAAAACAAGAUGCCUUUUGUAGAGGCAAUGUACUGUAGAAAAAAGACCCAGGUUUAAAAUCUCAGCUUUAUUAGCUAUACGACCUUAGAAAAGUUAACCUUUCUCAAUUGCAAACUGGAGACAAAAAAUAAUACCUACUUUGAAGAACUAUUAUAAGGAAGAGAAAUAAUGUGUAGAGCACCUGGCAUCAUGCCUGACAUCUGGUGAUGAUCAAUUGUGUUGGUUUUACUAUUAAUGAUAAUUCAUCUGGAUAAUUCUGAUAAAAUGGUUUCCUGAUGAAUUUAAAGUUUCAAUUGUAGUUUUCUGUCAAUAUGUUACAUUAUACAGGACAAAGCUCCAAACUCAUAAAAAAAAGUCAAAUUUAGAUAAUUUAAAAAUAAACAUAGAUCACAGAAGGCUACACUAUCAACCUUCUCUGUCCAGACGCUGUACUCUCAGUUCCUAGAUAAAUCACAGCUACAUUUUUUUUCAUUUAAAGAUGUAAUUGUGUAACCUGGGGUUUAGUAAACUACAGUCCUAAAACAUCCAGCCAGCCACCUGGUUUUGUAAAUAAAGUUUCAUUGGAACAGAAAAAAAAAAAAAAAAAAAAAAAAAAAAAAAAAAAAAAAAAAAAAAAAAAAAAAAAAAAAAAAAAAA
rnacentral:lncRNA from 1 species